rnacentral:rRNA from 1 species
AUUUAAGCUUGCUUCAAUUGCUGGCGACCGGCGCACGGGUGAGUAACGCGUAUCCAACCUUCCGUUCACUCAGGGAUAGCCUUUCGAAAGAAAGAUUAAUACCUGAUGGUAUGAUGAGAUUGCAUGAUAUCAUCAUUAAAGAUUUAUCGGUAAGCGAUGGGGAUGCGUUCCAUUAGGUAGUAGGCGGGGUAACGGCCCACCUAGCCUACGAUGGAUAGGGGUUCUGAGAGGAAGGUCCCCCACAUUGGAACUGAGACACGGUCCAAACUCCUACGGGAGGCAGCAGUGAGGAAUAUUGGUCAAUGGACGAGAGUCUGAACCAGCCAAGUAGCGUGAAGGAUGAAGGUCCUAUGGAUUGUAAACUUCUUUUAUAAGGGAAUAAAACGUCCCACGUGUGGGAGUUUGUAUGUACCUUAUGAAUAAGCAUCGGCUAACUCCGUGCCAGCAGCCGCGGUAAUACGGAGGAUGCGAGCGUUAUCCGGAUUUAUUGGGUUUAAAGGGAGCGUAGCCGGGUCGUUAAGUCAGCUGGAAAAGUUGCGGGCUCAACCGUAAAAUUGCAGUUGAUACUGGCAUUCCUUGAGUUGGCCGGCUGAAGGCAGGCGGAAUUUCGUGGG